rnacentral:rRNA from 1 species
GACGAACGCUGGCGGCGUGCUUAACACAUGCAAGUCGAACGGAAAGGCCCUGCUUUUGUGGGGUGCUCGAGUGGCGAACGGGUGAGUAACACGUGAGUAACCUGCCCUUGACUUUGGGAUAACUUCAGGAAACUGGGGCUAAUACCGGAUAGGAGCUCCUGCUGCAUGGUGGGGGUUGGAAAGUUUCGGCGGUUGGGGAUGGACUGGAGGCUUAUCAGCUUGUUGGGGGGGUAGUGGUUUACAAAGGCUUUGACGGGUAGCCGGCCUGAGAGGGUGACCGGCGACAUUGGGACUGAGAGACGGCCCAGACUCCUACGGGAGGCAGUAGUGGGGAAUAUUGCACAAUGGGGGGAAGCCUGAUGCAGCAACGCCGCGUGCGGGAUGACGGCCUUCGGGUUAUAAACCGCUUUCGCCUGUGACGAAGCGUGAGUGACGGUAAUGGGUAAAGAAGCACCGGCUAACUACGUG